rnacentral:rRNA from 1 species
GCCAGCAGCCAUAUCACCCUGCAACUCACAACUGGCAACCCACUGAAGCUAAGCAGGUGAGAGCCUGUUUAGUACCUAGAUGGGAGACCUUCUGGGAAAAGCUAGCGUUGCUGCUGGAA